GCGGCCAAUCCGCUCCCGAGUUGCACUCCUGAUGGGCAGCUCCAAUGACCAAUAGACUCUCGCACUUCUAUUUCAAGUCCCGCCCCAAUCCCCACCCUCUGCCCUGAGUCUUUUCCCUUCCCCCGAGCGGAGGAAGGGGAAGGCGGUGGUCGUCGUUCGAGUGGCCUCCUCAGGGUCAGAGUUGAGAAGGGGUGGUGGCUGCUCCUACCUCCUCCGGAUCCUAGGGCCUCGACCAGCUCGUUCUGAUGCACUGGGUCGCGGUAGCAGAUAAACCAUGGGAACAGCUCUCCUUCCCUCUGCCUUUGAAUUUGUGUGGGGGGCCAGUGUGAGCAGUGAGUGCCCUCACCGGAUGCCCAGGUCCCAGAUGGGUCGCGUUGCACUGGCUCCUCCAAUGUGACUGUCAGGUCUGUUUCCUCUUCGCGACCCCACCUCGCCCCCCACCCCCCAGGUCGCUAUGGGGGCUGCAGCAGGCACAUUUCUGCCCUGCCUGUUUGGGAGUCCUGGCAGAGCCUUCUUGCAGGUCACAACCCGCCUCCUUGGGAGUUCCAGCUUGAGGGGGAGACGGGGAGCAGCAAGGUCUCAAAUAUGCCCCUGAGGCUUCUGCUUGCCGUCCUGAUUCUCUGCAACUGAGCCUGUGGGGCAGACCCUUGGCUCUGGUCCCUGGGAAGCUCCUCUCUGUUGGUUGUCCCCACUAACACACACAGAUCUCAUACUUGGGUGGAUGAUGGAUAAGGUCGGUCCCUGGAGAAACGCUAGAAAUUGGAUCACUUGGUCUACCCAGUCUUGGAUAGUGAACGGAGCCUCCUGUGUGGACGGAAGCCCAAGAGGUUUGGACCAACCUCCAGCCCAGCCCUGGGUCCAGGUUGAGGUGGGUUUCAUCAUUAAAUGCUUCCUGCAGGUAAGGUUCCAGCUGUCCCCACUCCCAGGAGCAAGCUGUUAGGCUGGGUCCUGUCCACUUCUCUCUGGGUCUGUCUGUUCCCUCCUGAGUACCCAUCAGCCCUUUGCCCUGGAUUUUGGACUCCCCAGGCCUUACCUGCAGGUCUUGAGCACAGCUAGUUCUGGACCUAUUCUGUCUGCCUUGUUAGAUCAUGUCCACCCUUCUUGGAGCCUGCUCUCUGUGGCUCCCCCAGCACAAGAGCCUUCAGGCUUCUUAAGUAAGUGGACCUUGUAGGUGCAUAUGGGUUCCAUGUGGAGCCAAACCCCUGCCUAUGUAUUUCAGUAAAUUCUAAGGAUUGCCCUUGGAGUCACCUCCAUGCUCCUCACAGACCACAAACAUAGCUCCAAGGAUCCACUGCUCUCAGGGUUGGUUUGUGCAUAUAUGUGUGUGUGUGUGUCACUGCAGAUAGGCUGUUCUAGAAUCCACUUGGGCUGCAGUUCCAGCUACCAGAGGUACAGCAUUUCCCAGCCAUUCCACAGCCCCUGGUCACUCACACCCUCCUGGAGGCCUGUGGUCUGCCUGUCUCCAUUCCCCUCCUCUUUACCACUGUGCACAUGCAGCCUUGUACCUUCUCCCUAACUCAGCACCCAAUAUGCACUUUUUCAACAGGGUAUCUCUGCUCCCUAGGAUCUGAUAUUUAUUUUCUUGCAGCCCAAGCUGACCUUCCCAAACUCAUUCUCCUCAUAGUUGUUGAAAGUGUUCCCUCUUUUCAGCUCCUGUAAUUGGCCCCACUUCCUCCUACAAGGUGUUCUGAGUCACUCUUUAUCUGCCAACCAAGGAAUAGUCAGUUCACCUGUAGUUAAGGACAAGCCCUGUAGAGACUGAGUUGCACUGGCAGAAACACUGGGCAUGUGGAUCUAAAUGGCACAUGAGUCCUUCCAGCGCUGCUCCCAGGAGUCCCUCACUGGCAUAAGGCCUAUUGUUAAGGUCAUUUAGGACCACGUCUUCUAAGCAGCACCCACAGAGUGUCACCACUGUGGUACCCUAUUCCCGGCCCAGCUCUGACCUCCUAUUGUCCUCUUGGUCAGAACCAAGAAUUUCCUCCUCUGCUUCAGGGACCCCAAAGCAGGUGCCUCAGAGGGUCCUACUCCCCUUCCUCACUUUCCACCUUGCUCUGCCUCCAACCCUGUUUCUGGCUCACAUGCUCCCCACCCUCCUGCUCUGGUUAUCUCUCCGGAAUCUCUGAGCUCCUUCCACUGGGCCAGAACCCUCUCUCAGAAUGUCAAGCUCUUGAACUCCCACCUCCUCCAAGAAGCUUUUUUGAUAGAUUGGAAGGGACCUAAUACUCUUUCUGACUUCAGCCUUUCCAGCCUCUUCCCAUCAGCAACAGUGGCUACAUAACAACUUGGAUAAGGGCUGGGCUCUGGGUCUAAGAUGUGCAAGAUGGAUAUGGAUGGAAUUUUAAAGACAAGCAGACAAGCUAAUCAAAGAGAUCCAGAAAGAGUAACAACAUUGCUGUUGUAUAUAAGCCGGUGGCAUUGAGAGCUGAGAGGGAGGGUUAUUAUGUUUCUGCAGGGGAGACCAAGGGGAAUAAGCCUACUGAAACCAGAAAGACUUCAUGGAGGAGGUGGGCUUCAUAGAAGGUUGGUGGCUUUCCCACAUUUGCAAGUGUACUCUUCUGGUUAGGUUAUGUUUGGGUUCAUAUUCUGAGAUUCAUCUAUCUUCAUUAUAAUAGUAUCUCUGUGUUGCUUCUCAUCUGUCCAUCUCCCUUAUGUUCCUCUGGGGCAGUGCUGGUUGUAUCAGACUUCCUUAGAUGGGAAAGCCCCUGAGGCCAGGCUCCUUGUCUGUCUUCAUUGCUCUGUAGGUUACCUAGAACAGUGCCUAUUCAGAUAACUGGUUAUUCCUGAAGGUUCUUUAAGGCAAAUACUCUAGGCCCAGACCAAGAACUGGAGGGCCUAGACUGAGGUUUUAGCCUGGAUAGGAUCUGGCCUUAUUGAUGAGUGCAUCCCAUCAGAUUCACCAGAGAUGCUCCUCUCACUCACCCCACCUGGGCAGGUGGGCCCCAUCUUUUAAGAGAACAUCUCCGGACAAUGCUGCUCAUACUUUGCCUCCCUUUUGCUCUUCUUAUCUCCCUUCUGAGAAGCCAUAGUCUGGGAGGCAGGACACGGGAGUCCUAGUCUAUGGCUGCCAGUUGUAUGACCUUGGGGAAGUAAUUUCAGCUCUCUGGGACUCGGUUUCAUCAUAUUAAAAUGCAAGGGUUCUAUGGAUUUGACUCUUAUUAUCAGAUAAAAAUGAAUAUUAAAAGAACAAGAUAACAUUUUAGGAAAUGGACUAGAGGAGGAUUCCUAAAGCCUCUUUCAACUCCACAGUUCUGAUUCUAAACAAAAUCUGUCCUGUGAAUCUGUUUCACUCUCCAGCUCCAGCCCUGUCUGCUUCUCCCUAAUCUGUUUCUGUCUGAUGGGCUCAGUCUUUGUGUGCACAGCAUCCAUGUGAGGCCUGCACUUCUGCGGUUCACCCCAGGAGAUGAAGGGGAGGAGAGCUUAGGCUCUCAGCAAUGUAAAUCUCCCUAGGUCCCUCCAAGCUUUAGAGGGGCCCCUGAAAGGUGAGAAGGCAAAGAAGAGGAGGGCAAGAUGGCUGAGGCCCAGGAUAUCCCCAGUAAACAUCAAAGGCCCCAGAAACCAAGGUCAUUGCACCUCCCUGUAGGGGCCCCUACGAAGAGGCUAAUGAUGACACAGGUUCUUAAAACAGCCAGGAUGGAGACCCAGCCUGGGCAUCUGAGUGCCUGGAUCCUGCUGCCCCCCCCCACCCUGGCACCCCCAACUCCCUUGCCCAUCAGUCUCAGCUCCUGAGGUGUGCAGAGGGGGUGGGUAUGCACGAGCCCAGACUUCUCUCCCUCUCCUGAGGACCUUACCCCAGGGGAGAAGUGGGUGGCUAAAACAAAGGAGGGGAGCAGAACCCCUCUACAGAUAACAGUGGAGGGGGGAGGGGGUAAGCAGAGAGAAGAGAGGAAUUGACAGAGGAGGUGCUGCUAGCUGUCAGGAGGGAGACCCAAAUUCUCAUGUCUUCCCAUUUCGCAGGCUGUUUGCUAGAAGGACUUAAUUAAGGAGCCCAAAUAUAGUUUCUUUUGAACAGUGAAUAGGGCUGGGAGCACAGAUGAGGAAUGUGAUGCUCUGGGGUGGGGAGAGAAGGGACCAACGCUGAGAUGCUGGAGGGCCCAGAGUGAAGGGGACAGAGAGGACAGGGGUGAGCUGGUGACUCCUUUUCCCUGCCAUAAGCUCUGCUGCUUUCCUUGAUGGAAGGGGGGCCACUUCUUCCUUUCCCAUCCUCUGUCCUGAUCUCCCUCCAACUCCCUGGCUCCUGCCUUCACCUCCUUUACUGUCCCCUGAGAACAGCUCUCUCUGUCCAGUCCUCCCAGCACUCACCAGAAGCUUUAAGUCUUGGUUCACCUUCUGCCUCCACCAAGCCCCCUUUUUGCCUCCUCCCUUUCGUCCCCCACUCCUUCUCCUCCCAGGCCCCGCUGGCGCCCAGCAUAGCACUACAGAUGUAGGAGCAGAUCAAGAAGGGUGGGGGUGGUAGCUGUUGCUUUUCUGGGAUAUUCUUAGCCUGUCUGGGGGCUGGAGCUGGAAUCAGCGUUUCCAUCUCAACCAGGCAGGUGGCUGCCAGAAACUGCCACUGUGACUGGGUCUUCAUCUAGUUCCAUAUCCCUUAUCCUGUCCCUUCCUCCUCUAUAUUGAUUUCAUCUAUGAACACAGACCCUCUGAGAGUCCAGCCUUCCCACCCUUGUGCCCUGGAUGGAAUGUUUCCUCUGCCUAUCAGGCAUAGCCCCAGGAAGGUGUGCAAACCUCACUGGAGGCUCUGGGGGGAAAGAAGGGCCUUCGAGAACUCUAGCUCAGAUGCUCCCUAGAGCAGAACACAGCCCUCUCCUCUCUGCCCCCAGGCCCUCUUCUUUCAUCUGCCCCCAACAACCCCUGCAUGGUACUCAGUCCCCAGACUGUAUUCACCACCAUGAAGGCCUUUCUUAUCUUGAUUUACAGGAGUCACUCAGGGGCCCUAGAGUUUCAGAAGCUGCCUCCUGAAAGCGGCUGAACCCUGGAGUCCAGGCCUCCUUUGGGCCAGAACAAGGGGCUCACUGACCCAGAUCUCUCCCCACAUCUUUUUUUUUUUUUUUUGAGACAAAGUCUCACUCUUUUGCCCAGGCUAGAGUGCAGUGGCAUGAUCUUCACUCAUUCCUGGGCUCAAGGGAUCCUCCCACCUCAGCCUCCCAAGUAGUUGGGACCACAGGCAUGCAUCACCAGGCCUGGCUAAUUUUUGUACUUUUUGUAGAGAUGGAGUUUCACCAUGCUGCCCAGGCUGGUCUCUAACUCCUGGGCUCAAGCAGUCUGCCCACCUCAGCCUCAAAGUGUUAGGAUUACAGGCAUGAGCCACCUCACCCAGCCUUCUCAGAUGCCUUUAUCAGCAGAGGGAGGGGCAAAGAAGAAAUCUCACUCAUUCACAAAUCGCACAAAAAAUGUUUGUCACCUUAAGAGGGACAGACAGUGCAUGGUCUCCUAUGUGGGUUCUGAGGUCAUUCGGUCUAUGUUCAAAUCCAGCCCCUCCACUUAUGACCUGGGGCCCUUGGGGCAAGUUUCUUAAUUCUUCUGAGGUCUAUAAAAGUGGACCAUCCAAGGUGCAGUAGGAAGAGAUCACCAUCCACAGCCGGGCUGAGGCUGAGAGCACGUACCAGAUCAAGUAUGAGGAGCUGCAGACGCUGGCUGGGAAGCAUGGGGAUGACCUGCGUUGUACAAAGACAGAUCUCCCAGAUGAACCGGAACAUCAGCAGGCUCCAGGCUGAGACUGAGGGCCUCAAAGGCCAGAGGGCUUCCCUGGAGGCCGCCAUCGCAGAUGCUGAGCAGUGGGGGGAGCUGGCCAUUAAAGAUGCCAACACCAAGCUGUCUGAGCUGGAGGCCGCCAUGCAGCGGGCCAAGCAGGACAUGGCGUGCAGCUGGGUGAGUACCAGAAGCUGGCCCUGGACAUCGAGAUCGCCACCUAUGGGAAGCUGCUGGAGGGCAAGGAGAGCCGUCUGGAGUCUGGGAUGCAGAACUUUCGCUCUUGUUGGUCAGGCUGGAAUGCUAUGGCACGAUCUCGGCUCACCGCAACCUCCACUUCCCAGGUUCUAGCGAUUCUCCUGCCUCGGCCUCCCGAGUAGCUGGGAUUACAGGCGGAGUUUGAUUCUUGUUGCCCAGGCUGGAGUGCAAUGGCGCGAUCUUGGCUCACCACAACCUCUGCCUCCCGGGUUCAAGCGAUUCUCCUGCCUCAGCCUCCCAAGUAGCUGGGAUUACUGGCGCAGGCCACCAUGCCCAGCUUAUUUUGUAUUUUUAGUAGAGACAGGGUUUCUCCAUUUUGGUCAGGCUGGUCUCGAACUCCUGACCUCGUGAUCAACCCGCCUCAGCCUCCCAAAGUGCUGGAAUUACAGGCGUGAGCCACCGCGCCUGGCCUGGAAUCAUAAUUUCUUUGAGUGGGCUCAAGAUGAAAUCCCUGUAAGAAAAAAAUUAAAAGGGAGGAGAAAACUCUAGGAAA